UCUUGACAUCCAGAGAACUUAGCAGAGAUGGUUUGGUGCCUUCGGGAACUCUGAGACAGGUGCUGCAUGGCUGUCGUCAGCUCGUGUUGUGAAAUGUUGGGUUAAGUCCCGCAACGAGCGCAACCCUUAUCCUUUGUUGCCAGCGAUUCGGUCGGGAACUCAAAGGAGACUGCCGGUGAUAAACCGGAGGAAGGUGGGGAUGACGUCAAGUCAUCAUGGCCCUUACGAGUAGGGCUACACACGUGCUACAAUGGCGCAUACAAAGAGAAGCGACCUCGCGAGAGCAAGCGGACCUCAUAAAGUGCGUCGUAGUCCGGAUCGGA
rnacentral:rRNA from 1 species